rnacentral:rRNA from 1 species
UACGUAGGUGGCAAGCGUUGUCCGGAUUUACUGGGCGUAAAGAGCGCGCAGGCGGUCGUUCAAGUCGCGUGUGAAAGCCCCCGGCUCAACUGGGGAGGGUCACGCGAUACUGAUCGACUCGAAGGCAGGAGAGGGUAGUGGAAUUCCCGGUGUAGUGGUGAAAUGCGUAGAUAUCGGGAGGAACACCAGUGGCGAAGGCGGCGACCUGGGCCAAUACUGACGCUGAGGUGCGAAAGCGUGGGGAGCAAACAGG